CUGACUGUGCAAAGGUAGCAUAAUCAGUUGGCCUAUAAUUGAGGUCUCGUAUGAAUGAAUAAUUGGGUAGCAACUGUCUUAAUAUAUUUUUUUGAAUUUAGUUAGCAAGUGAAAAUACUUGCUCAUAUACAAAAGACGAGAAGACCCUAGAAACUUGCGCGUAUUUUUGUUGGGGCGACAGGAUUACAAUAAACUAAUCUUAUUUUACUAGACGUAUAACAGGAAGAUUAAGUUACUCUAGGGAUAACAGCAUAAUUUUAACAGUUUGUGACCUCGAUGUUGGACUAGGUACAAAACUCCUUAGAAGGGAGUU
rnacentral:rRNA from 1 species